UGCGAAUGGCUCAUUAAAUCAGUUAUCGUUUAUUUGAUAGUACCUUACUACUUGGAUAACCGUGGUAAUUCUAGAGCUAAUACAUGCUAAAAAUCCCGACCUCUGGAAGGGAUGUAUUUAUUAGAUAAAAAACCAAUGCCUUCGGGCUUCUUGGUGAUUCAUGAUAACUUUACGAAUCGCAUGGCCUUGUGCUGGCGAUGGUUCAUUCAAAUUUCUGCCCUAUCAACUUUCGAUGGUAGGAUAGUGGCCUACCAUGGUUUCAACGGGUAACGGGGAAUUAGGGUUCGAUUCCGGAGAGGGAGCCUGAGAAACGGCUACCACAUCCAAGGAAGGCAGCAGGCGCGCAAAUUACCCAAUCCCGACACGGGGAGGUAGUGACAAUAAAUACUGAUACAGGGCCCUUUUGGGUCUUGUAAUUGGAAUGAGUACAAUUUAAACCCUUUAACGAGGAACAAUUGGAGGGCAAGUCUGGUGCCAGCAGCCGCGGUAAUUCCAGCUCCAAUAGCGUAUAUUAAAGUUGUUGCAGUUAAAAAGCUCGUAGUUGAACUUUGGGUCUGGGUGACUGGUCUGCGGUCUACUGCAUGUACUGGAAACUCGGAUCUUUCCUUCUGGAGAACCGCAUGCACUUCACUGGGUGUGCCGGGGAACCAGGACUUUUACUUUGAAAAAAUUAGAGUGUUCAAAGCAGGCAUUUGCUCGAAUACAUUAGCAUGGAAUAAUAAAAUAGGACGUGCGGUUCUAUUUUGUUGGUUUCUAGGACCGCCGUAAUGAUUAAUAGGGAUAGUCGGGGGCAUCCGUAUUCGAUUGUCAGAGGUGAAAUUCUUGGAUUUUUCGAAGACGAACUACUGCGAAAGCAUUUGCCAAGGAUGUUUUCAUUAAUCAGGAACGAAAGUUGAGGGAUCGAAGACGAUCAGAUACCGUCGUAGUCUCAACCAUAAACUAUGCCGACUAGGGAUUGGGCGACUGUGUUUUUUGAGUUGCUCAGCACCUUACGAGAAAUUAAAGUUUUUGGGUUCUGGGGGGAGUAUGGUCGCAAGGCUGAAACUUAAAGGAAUUGACGGAAGGGCACCACCAGGAGUGGAGCCUGCGGCUUAAUUUGACUCAACACGGGGAAACUCACCAGGUCCAGACACAUUAAGGAUUGACAGAUUGAGAGCUCUUUCUUGAUCAUGUGGGUGGUGGUGCAUGGCCGUUCUUAGUUGGUGGAGUGAUUUGUCUGCUUAAUUGCGAUAACGAACGAGACCUUAACCUGCUAAAUAGCUGGGCUCGCUUUCGCGGGUUCUUGGCU
rnacentral:rRNA from 1 species